rnacentral:lncRNA from 1 species
AUUAUUAUAACUUACUGGGGGACCCUUACUUUUUACAAUCCCCCUUUCUACAAUAUUUACAAGAAGAAAGGUGAAAAUGCCUACAGACAGGAUAACUAAACUGUGUGGAAUAGAGGUGGCUAAUGGGGGCAGAGUCCAGCAGCUCUAACAGAACUACUAAACCUGCCAAUUAACAGGACUCCCUUAUCACUAGUGAUGCCCCAAGUGAUGUGGGGAGAGAGCACCAUCAACCCACCCAGAGAGAGCAAGGCCAGUUGUACUCUCUCAGGGCUCUGGUAGCCGAUGGCAAGCUACAUGAACAGGAUUCAAACCGGCGAUCUUCUGAUCACUGUGGCAGCACCUUAGUAAAUAAAUAAAC